rnacentral:rRNA from 2 species
UUUACAUUUGAGUGAGUGGCGAACUGGUGAGUAACACGUGGGAAACCUGCCCAGAAGCGGGGGAUAACACCUGGAAACAGAUGCUAAUACCGCAUAACAACUUGGACCGCAUGGUCCGAGCUUGAAAGAUGGCUUCGGCUAUCACUUUUGGAUGGUCCCGCGGCGUAUUAGCUAGAUGGUGGGGUAACGGCUCACCAUGGCAAUGAUACGUAGCCGACCUGAGAGGGUAAUCGGCCACAUUGGGACUGAGACACGGCCCAAACUCCUACGGGAGGCAGCAGUAGGGAAUCUUCCACAAUGGACGAAAGUCUGAUGGAGCAACGCCGCGUGAGUGAAGAAGGGUUUCGGCUCGUAAAACUCUGUUGUUAAAGAAGAACAUAUCUGAGAGUAACUGUUCAGGUAUUGACGGUAUUUAACCAGAAAGCCACGGCUAACUACGUGCCAGCAGCCGCGGUAAUACGUAGGUGGCAAGCGUUGUCCGGAUUUAUUGGGCGUAAAGCGAGCGCAGGCGGUUUUUUAAGUCUGAUGUGAAAGCCUUCGGCUCAACCGAAGAAGUGCAUCGGAAACUGGGAAACUUGAGUGCAGAAGAGGACAGUGGAACUCCAUGUGUAGCGGUGAAAUGCGUAGAUAUAUGGAAGAACACCAGUGGCGAAGGCGGCUGUCUGGUCUGUAACUGACGCUGAGGCUCGAAAGUAUGGGUAGCAAACAGGAUUAGAUACCCUGGUAGUCCAUACCGUAAACGAUGAAUGCUAAGUGUUGGAGGGUUUCCGCCCUUCAGUGCUGCAGCUAACGCAUUAAGCAUUCCGCCUGGGGAGUACGGCCGCAAGGCUGAAACUCAAAGGAAUUGACGGGGGCCCGCACAAGCGGUGGAGCAUGUGGUUUAAUUCGAAGCUACGCGAAGAACCUUACCAGGUCUUGACAUACUAUGCAAAUCUAAGAGAUUAGACGUUCCCUUCGGGGACAUGGAUACAGGUGGUGCAUGGUUGUCGUCAGCUCGUGUCGUGAGAUGUUGGGUUAAGUCCCGCAACGAGCGCAACCCUUAUUAUCAGUUGCCAGCAUUAAGUUGGGCACUCUGGUGAGACUGCCGGUGACAAACCGGAGGAAGGUGGGGAUGACGUCAAAUCAUCAUGCCCCUUAUGACCUGGGCUACACACGUGCUACAAUGGAUGGUACAACGAGUUGCGAACUCGCGAGAGUAAGCUAAUCUCUUAAAGCCAUUCUCAGUUCGGAUUGUAGGCUGCAACUCGCCUACAUGAAGUCGGAAUCGCUAGUAAUCGCGGAUCAGCAUGCCGCGGUGAAUACGUUCCCGGGCCUUGUACACACCGCCCGUCACACCA